GCGGCAGACGAGACGAUCGCGUCGGCUAAUCAGCCGCCGAGGAAAGUCCGGGCUCCCGCGGGCAGCGCAGCACCUAACGGGUGUCCGCCGUUGGCGACGGUUGUCUUUCUCCGUCAGGGGAAAACAACUGUGGCCGCAAGGCGAGGACUAGUGCCACAGAGACGAUGUACAGGUUCUUUUAUUUAGAAUGCUGUAGUGAAAAGAGGUAAACUCUGCGCGGAGCAAGAGCAAAUAGAGGACGAGAGCGCCCGCCUCGUUACAGUCCCGGGUUGCUUGCUUGAGCUUGUCCGGCAACGGCAAGCCUAGAUAAAUGAUCGUCUGAAAAACAGAACCCGGCUUACCAGUUUGCCGUAAAC
rnacentral:RNase_P_RNA from 1 species